CAUCGGACGGAGUCUGACUACAGUACAGUUUGAAUUACAAGACAGAAAAAAGCAACAAAUUGCAGACGUCCAACAUUCUUCCUGCUCACAUGCUUACAUCUUGUGGCGUCAGAUAAAUAGCCAGUAGCCAAGUAUUGAUGUAGCCGUAGUGGAAUAACUGGGAAACUCUUAAUUUUAUCUUUGAAGAAACUUAAAUGACAGUAUUGACUGGAGUUUGAAUUACUCAAAGGGAAAAAGACAAAACAGUCAAAAAAAAAAAACAGUCGUCCAUCUUUCAUCCGGCAUAUAUCCAUAGGUGUUGGAUAAAAAGCGAAGUUAUGGAGCCGAAGUGAAGUACUUGGGGAAAUUAUCUUUGAAGGAAAAGUUACCAAGAACCAGGCGCAACAGGAUUGUUCAAGGAUACAGAAAAUUACUUACUGUAUUACUACCCCCACUUAGAUGAUUGCCGACAUCUGUCAAAAAAUGAAACAUUUCAGGAGCUCUAAAGAAUUGUGAAUUUAACUUAAUCAUAAUGCAUCUGAAUGGACAUAUAUUUGAUAUUUGUGCAAUGGUAUUCAGAUGCAGACGACGGUGCAGAAUACUGUGAAUACUGAUUGUAAUGCUAAGAACUUAC
rnacentral:lncRNA from 1 species